UGUUUGUGUGUCUGUGUGUGUGUCUGUGUGUGUGUCUGUGUAGACUGCUACAGCUGCUCCAGGAUGAAUCAAGUGCAAGUAAGAGUUUCUAUAGGCUUCUAGUCAUGUUUACUUGGAUUUUAAUUCGUGGAUUUGCAAAAUAAUGCUUCGUUCUCGAGUUAUGCCUAGUUUUGCUUACUUGGAAUGCCAUUGCAGCCUUUUCAGUAGAGCACGUGGCCAAACUUGCUUACCGAGUGUUGCUACUCUACUUAGUAGUUAGCUCUGCACUAGAACGCUAGCUAUUGGUAGCUGCAAAGGUGACAAGAGAGCUUCAAGGCUCUGCUAAUGCAGCCAUUAAUUUUAGACUUUAACUUUUGGCAUAGAUCGUUUUUAACAACAAUCAUGGGCGGUCAUUACCCACUCUGUGAGUUUUUGCAUGCAGCAAAAUUAAAUUGUUUUAUCAUGUGUAUAAAAGCUUUAUGUUAUGUAGCUUUGGCAUCUCCACCGAGGCAUCAGCACCUGUGGUGCUUUCAUUGGUACAUGAUUCUCAAUCAGUAUCGAUUGACUCCUUUCCUUUCUAUACAGAUACCUUCCCAUAUCGUUUCCAUCAGUUAGCGAGACCACCCCCUACAAACACGACAGACAGCAAGCAGCUGUUCCAGAUGUCCUCCACCCCAAACCUUCUAAUAUUAGUGUACCAUCUUUUGUGGAGAUCUCUUCUGAAUCAUCAGUCGGCAAGGCUACACCUGGCAAACAUGACAGACUGGGAGCACCUGAUCCCAAUACCUUUCAACCAACACCUUCUAAGAUACGUAAAGUGUCCUCAGGGACCAAAACUAAAUCAUCAGAGAAACCACCAAAUUCUCCCAAACCAAACGCUGACGAAUUUAAUGUUCCCUCGACAUUUGGCGAUGGAGAUUGUGCCAAGAGACAGUUUAUUGCUCGGAAGUGUGUCAAAUGCAAACGUUUGCCCAGAAAGCCCAAGCGUUCACGAUGCUGUCUCCUCUUGUAUUGUGAGCCAUGUUCCAUGGAUACCAAGUACCAGCUGUGCAGUAUGUGUGGCAGGAAACAAGUGUUCAAACUCGAUUCUGAACUCAACAACAAGAUACCCAAACUAACUGUCUUCUGCAAGCACAACUCGGGAGGUUGCGAUUGGAAGGGCAAACUGUACAAGCUCAAAGACCAUCUUUUACACAAAUGUGAGGUCCCCUGUCUGUACAGCUCUUUUGGUUGCCAAGCAACGGUUACCAAUGACAACUACAAUAAUCACAUUGAGAAAUUAGCUUUAG